GCACUGCUGAAUAGUCCCAGACUAGGACGAAACAGCUGUCCAAUAC
rnacentral:hammerhead_ribozyme from 1 species